AUUGAACGCUGGCGGCAGGCCUAACACAUGCAAGUCGAACGAGUGGCGGAAGGGUGAGUAAUGUCUGGGAAAAUGCCUGAUGGAGGGGGAAAACUACUGGAAACGGUAGCUAAUAACGCAUACCACAGAAUGUGCACAGAUGGGAUUAGGUAGGAGGUGGGGUAAAGGCUCACCUAGGCGACGAUCCCUAGCUGGUCUGAGAGGAUGACCAGCCACACUGGAACGGAGACACGGUCCAGACUCCUACGAGAGGCAGCAGUGGGGAAUAUUGCACAAUGGGCGCAAGCCUGAUGCAGCCAUGCCGCGUGUAUGAAGAAGGCCUUCGGGUUGUAAAGUACUUUCAGCGGGGAGGCGUUACCCGCAGAAGAAGCACCGGCUAACUCCGUGCCAGCAGCCGCGGUAAUAC
rnacentral:rRNA from 1 species